AGAAAGGUAAGGGGUAGGGGAGAAGGAUUUGGUCAUUAUUUGAUGAACAUUUAUUAACUAAUCACAUUAUAUAGGAAGCACUGGAGAGACAGAAAAGAUCUUAAAGACCUUAAAGCUGUUCCUUGACAUGUUCACCAUCAGGGAGAGAGAUCUAUGUGCGCUAAUAGAGUUGUGAACAGAAGUCUCAGGCAACCCAGUGGAAGGAAGAGUGAUUUGUGCAAAAUCAUUUCAGGAAGUCUUCAUCAAAGAGGCGAUGCUCAUGACCAGGUGUGCACAAGCAGUGCACAUGCUGAGCAGAAGCACUCCAGGCAGUGAGUUCAGCACAUUAUCAAUGUAUUACAAGAAAGAUGAAGUGCUCAAAUCCACACAGCCAAAAUGCCCAGUCUAGGCAUCCAGAUUUAUACCUCCAGACUCUCAAGUAGGACCCAAAACAACCUGACACCUACUCUC
rnacentral:lncRNA from 10 species